GUUGGCUUAGAAGCAGCCACUCAUUUAAAGAGUGCGUAAUAGCUCACUAGUCGAGAGAUCCUGCGCCGAAAAUGUCCGGGGCUCAAACUUACCACCGAAGCUACGGGCUUGCGUAAGCAAGCGGUAGGGGAGCGUCGUAAUCGGGCUGAAGUCGUACCGUAAGGAGCGGUGGACUGAUUACGAGUGAGAAUGUUGGCAUUAGUAGCGAGAUGUAGGUGAGAAUCCUACAGGCCGAAUAUCUAAGGUUUCCUCAGGAAGGCUCGUCCGCUGAGGGUUAGUCGGGACCUAAGCCGAGGCCGAAAGGCGUAGGCGAUGGACAAUCGGUUGAUAUUCCGAUACCACUACCAUCGUUAUUAUCGAGGGUGUGACGGAGAAGGAUAGUGUGUGCUAGCGAUUGGAAAUGCUAGUCUAAGCGUUUAGGGAGUUACGGUAGGCAAAUCCGCUGUAACAAUUCUGAGGCGUGAUGGGGAAGGCCAUAUAGGCCGAAGUACAUGAUUCCAUGCUUCCAAGAAAAGCAUCUAGAGAGAGAAGUAGUGCCCGUACCGCAAACCGACACAGGUAGAUGAGGAGAGAAUCCUAAGGCCGGCGGAAGAAUUGCAGUUAAGGAACUAGGCAAAUUGACCCCGUAAGUUCGCGAGAAGGGGUGCCUGCGAGAGCAGGCCGCAGAGAAUAGGCCCAAGCAACUGUUUAGCAAAAACACAGGUCUCUGCUAAAGCGCAAGCUGAUGUAUAGGGGCUGACGCCUGCCCGGUGCUGGAAGGUUAAGGGGAACACUUAGCGCAAGCGAAGGUGUGAACUUAAGCCCCAGUAAACGGCGGCCGUAACUAUAACGGUCCUAAGGUAGCGAAAUUCCUUGUCAGGUAAGUUCUGACCCGCACGAAUGGCGUAAUGACUUGGGCACUGUCUCAACUGCAAAUCCGGCGAAGUUGUAGUGCGAGUGAAGAUGCUCGCUACCCGCGAUUGGACGGAAAGACCCCGUAGAGCUUUACUGCAGCUUAGCAUUGAAUUCCGGUAUUGUCUGUACAGGAUAGGUGGGAGACUGGGAAACUAGGGCGUCAGCCUUAGUGGAGUCAACCUUGGGAUACCACCCUGACAGUACUGGGGUUCUAACAGGACGCCAUGAAUCUGGUGACUGGACAUUGUUAGGUGGGCAGUUUGACUGGGGCGGUCGCCUCCUAAAAAGUAACGGAGGCGCCCAAAGGUUCCCUCAGAACGGUCGGAAAUCGUUCGUAGAGUGCAAAGGCAGAAGGGAGCCUGACUGCGAGACCUACAAGUCGAGCAGGGACGAAAGUCGGGCUUAGUGAUCCGGUGGUACCUCGUGGGAGGGCCAUCGCUCAACGGAUAAAAGCUACCUCGGGGAUAACAGGCUGAUCUCCCCCAAGAGUCCACAUCGACGGGGAGGUUUGGCACCUCGAUGUCGGCUCAUCGCAUCCUGGGGCUGUAUUCGGUCCCAAGGGUUUGGCUGUUCGCCAAUUAAAGCGGUACGCGAGCUGGGUUCAGAACGUCGUGAGACAGUUCGGUCCCUAUCCGGCGUGGGCGUAGGAUAUUUGAGAGGAGCUGUCCUUAGUACGAGAGGACCGGGAUGGACUGACCUCUGGUGCACCAGUUGUUCCGCCAGGAGCACGGCUGGGUAGCUAAGUCGGGAAGGGAUAAACGCUGAAAGCAUCUAAGCGUGAAGCCUCCCUCAAGAUGAGAUUUCCCAUAGCAUAAGCUAGUAAGACCCCUUGAAGAACACAAGGUUGAUAGGUCAGAGGUGUAAGUGCGGUAACGUAUGUAGCUGACUGAUACUAAUAGGUCGAGGGCUUGACCAA
rnacentral:rRNA from 1 species